CCCGCCGCCCCGCCGCUGCCCUUACAUUGACGCCGCGGCUCCCGGUCGCCGGUCCCGCCGUGGCGGAGCUAGCAGGGCACCAGCCGCCGCCGUCGUGGCCCCUCCGCCGCCUCCCGCCGCCGGGCGCACAUGGAGACAAUCGCAUCCGCCAGGACAGUGGCGAGGGAGAACAGGCGCAAUGUGGAGCAGAUGAGCGAGUAAAUCAUGGAGCGCGUACAUGUUCUGCAUACUGCAAACGAGGAGCUCAUUUCCUGGCGGGCCUCGCCGGGAGUCACUCUUUGCCAACGUGGCCUUUAAACCCUUCACGGCCUUUGGCUGCUUUGCUGACUUUAGCACCCAGUUCCCACAAAUACACACCAUUUAACCACGGUUUGGUUGGGGUGAGCUGAAAACAACCAGCAACUACCGGAUGACUGAGGAAAACACAGCCAAUCGUGCAUUUAAUAUUUGUAAAUCAGCGCUUCAUGGGGUUCGGUGACAUUUGCUACGUUGUGAGCUCAGCCUGAAGCAGGACGCUCGCUGCACGCAGUGUUCCUCCCCGACAGCAGCGCUAACGGAAACGCCGGUGUCGGUGGUCAGAGCAGCAAAGCAGGGGCCUCAUGGCUGCACCCUGUGCUGACAGCCACAGGAGCACAUCACCUCUCUGCCUAGUUACCACUGUGGCUGAGAUCAAUCCGUUCAUGUUUGCAAAGUCAGCUGAACACCAAAAAGCAUUGCGUACUGCUAAUAAAACCGUAAUGAUCCCCCUGUUAAACAUUAAACACAAUGAUGUGUUUGAAAGAA